UUGAUAGUAAAGUAAUUGGUAUAAUUGGAGGUAAUGUGGAAUAAAUAGAAGAAGGAGAAUCGAAAAAGGCUGAGUUGGUAUCAUGAAUUUGAACAGAAGCUUCGUCUUUUUUUCUCUGCUUUUUGCAGUAAUGGUCAUUUUUGCUGGAGUAGUUGAAGGUCAGUUCAAUCCAGGAGAGAUCCUCUAUGCUGCAAGCUUUGGACCACGUAGUAGAAACAAAACUUCAGCAUAAUAGAAACAUUUCAGUCACCUACUUCGGAUUUGAACAAGUUUUCCGUACAUCUUUCGAUGAAAAUCACUUUGGUAUAAGUAGGUACUUGAUCACUGUGUAAUGUAAUCUUACAAUUACAUGAAUAAUAUAAGUGAAGAUGAA